GAUCAUGGCUCAAGAUGAACGCUGGCGGCGUGCUUAACACAUGCAAGUCGAGCGAAGCACUUUACUUGGAUUUCUUCGGAAUGACGAGUAUUGUGACUGAGCGGCGGACGGGUGAGUAACGCGUGGGUAACCUGCCUCAUACAGGGGGAUAACAGUUAGAAAUGACUGCUAAUACCGCAUAAGACCACAGCACCCCAUGGUGCAGAGGUAAAAACUCCGGUGGU
rnacentral:rRNA from 1 species